rnacentral:rRNA from 1 species
UACGGAGGGUGCGAGCGUUAAUCGGAAUUACUGGGCGUAAAGCGCACGCAGGCGGUCUAUUAAGUGAGAUGUGAAAUCCCCGGGCUUAACUUGGGAAUUGCAUCUGAUACUGGUUGGCUAGAGUCCUGUAGAGGGGGGUAGAAUUCCAUGUGUAGCGGUGAAAUGCGUAGAGAUGUGGAGGAAUACCAGUGGCGAAGGCGGCCCCCUGGACAAAGACUGACGCUCAGGUGCGAAAGCGUGGGGAGCAAACAGG